rnacentral:tRNA from 1 species
GGAGGCUUCGCCUAGUCCGGUCUAUGGCGCCGCACUGCUAAUGCGGUUUGGGCUACUCGUCCAUCCGGGGUUCAAAUCCCCGAGCCUCCG